ensembl:lncRNA
ACUGUUGAACCAGGCUUAGCCAAGCACCUCUGAGUCCUGUGAUAAAAAGCUACAAAGAGCUCAUGAGUGGGAAACAGGAAAGUAACGGGAGUGAGGUUGGCAUUGCUUCUACAAUCUAUCUGGACUGCCCUCUGCCUGAGGCGAUAUAGCAGGUUCUUUCAAAGGAGCACAGGAGUGAGAGCCAGGGCUCUCUGCCACCUUCCAGCCACGUGACAAAGGCAGAUCAGCUCCACGAAUGAGGAUAAAGCCUACCUCUGGUGAGGACCCUCAGAUCCAGGUGUGUGUAGAAAACGCCACAUUCAACCUCAAGCUGCCUUUGAAAGGUUUUGACCAGGGUGCUGUUCUUUGAGAAUCUUCUGUUGACCCUGAUGAAGAUGCCCCUGCCCAGACAACGCGGACCACUCCCAGCCAUUGUGUUGCCUCUCAAGACUCCAGGCUGAGAAGGGUGUAAGCAUGGGCCCCUGUCCAGAGUAGAUAUGUCACUCACUUGGCUGUGACUCUGGUGAACUGGCUGGGGUGUCCUAGGAGAUCUCUGUGUCAUGCAGAGUCGGGCAGGACACACUGAGGUCCAUCUUCCCAGAGAACACUUUAUGCUCACUGAGUCUAGGUGGUGCCAGCCAUCAAGCCAAGGGCUCCAGAGGCUCAGCAGAGAACCCCAAGAGCCUGGGAGAAAGUGGGAGAAAUGUUCAUGGAAUGUGGGGGAGCAAUGUCACAUUCAGACCUCAGGGAGGUUGGGGAGGACAGGGAACUGAGUGGGUACGCACUCCCCAGAGCCACGCUACCCACCUGAUUACCCUCAGCAGGGGACAGCCUGACAGGCAGGGCUAGGCUCUGCAGCCCACCUGGCUCCACUGGGCACGGCAGCCAGGACCUGCCAUACGUCAGGCGCCACGCUAAGCCCCUUGCCUAAAUUUGUAGCAGGCACCAGUUGCACACAGUCCAUCAUUCAAGUGGCUAAGACAUAGGACUUCAUUUUCUGUGACUCAGCCUUAUUUUUUUCUUCAAAUCUCCGUGCCAGUGGUGGCUGAAUCUUAAUCUCAGACAACUCAAGUUACAUUGCCACUUUCCCCAGGAGGAUGUCCUAGUUCCCAUGAGGAGGAGGGUGGCUGUCAUUACAGACAAGGCAUCAAGUGAGACAAUGGUGUCCAGAGUCCACUUGGUCGCCAUGGAGGUGCCCUGUGAUCCUGACGAUCCUGUCAGUCUGGGAGGGGACGGGACUGUCUAUCCACCUCUGGCUCACAGUUGCAUCUGGGACCCACCUGCUGCUUCCACAUCCUGAUGGAGCAGAACUCACAGUGGGGCUGUUUGAGGCCAUGACCUUGUCAUGCUGCCCAGCCCUUUCCUUUUGCUGGGCCUCAUGGCCUCCCCAGGAUUCUCCCCAUGAGCGGAGCCUAGGUCCC